rnacentral:rRNA from 1 species
UAGUAACGCGUGGGAACGUGCCCUUCACUGCGGAAUAGCCACUGGAAACGGUGAGUAAUACCGCAUACGCCCUUCGGGGGAAAGAUUUAUCGGUGAAGGAUCGGCCCGCGUUAGAUUAGAUAGUUGGUGGGGUAACGGCCUACCAAGUCUACGAUCUAUAGCUGGUUUUAGAGGAUGAUCAGCAACACUGGGACUGAGACACGGCCCAGACUCCUACGGGAGGCAGCAGUGGGGAAUCUUGGACAAUGGGCGCAAGCCUGAUCCAGCCAUGCCGCGUGAGUGAUGAAGGCCUUAGGGUCGUAAAGCUCUUUCGCCAGAGAUGAUAAUGACAGUAUCUGGUAAAGAAACCCCGGCUAACUCCGUGCCAGCAGCCGCGGUAAUACGGAGGGGGUUAGCGUUGUUCGGAAUUACUGGGCGUAAAGCGCACGUAGGCGGAUCAGAAAGUUGGGGGUGAAAUCCCGGGGCUCAACCCCGGAACUGCCUCCAAAACUCCUGGUCUUGAGUUCGAGAGAGGUGAGUGGAAUUCCGAGUGUAGAGGUGAAAUUCGUAGAUAUUCGGAGGAACACCAGUGGCGAAGGCGGCUCACUGGCUCGAUACUGACGCUGAGGUGCGAAAGUGUGGGGAGCAAACAGGAUUAGAUACCCUGGUAGUCCACACCGUAAACGAUGAAUGCCAGUCGUCGGGUAGCAUGCUAUUCGGUGACACACCUAACGGAUUAA